GAAGUCCUCAUUCUCUUUAAGAUCUGCAUUCUGCAAAGCCAAAAAAUCUGUCUGGGGAAAUUCAGCAAUGACCAGUAUGAGAGUAGAUCAACAGGCAAACAUUGAUUUCUUUUUUUUGGCACAGGUAUUAAAGCAGUUGUUCUCAACACUGGCGUCAAAGUGGAAUCACCUGGGGAGUUUUGAAAAUUCCUACUUCCUUGAAACCCCAAGUUUAGAGACUUGAUCUAACUUGUCUGAGAUAAGGAUCAUGGAUGCAGAGGCCUGGAAGCAUGGGACCUUUGUGAGGUUUUCCCAAGCUGGGGACACUAUGACAUAGUGUUGGAUUUGCCAUCCUGGACCUUACUCUGUCACUGACCAGAGUGACUCCCUUGUCCUGCCAGUGAUCAACUAUGCUGAUAAUCCUAACACAAUGGAUUCUAGGCUUCUUUUGUCUUCCUCUGCAUAUCUGUAAGUAAUAAAUCUGCUUCAUGUAA